ensembl:snoRNA
AUCCUUUCAUAGUUCCCAUGCAUGAUGAUUGGGUGUUCAUGCUCAUGUGUGAGAUAUGCUUCCUUCAAGCCUCAUUAAGCUGUGAGCACAUUACCAUCUGAUG